UACGUAGGGUGCAAGCGUUAAUCGGAAUUACUGGGCGUAAAGCGUGCGCAGGCGGUUGUGUAAGACAGAUGUGAAAUCCCCGGGCUCAACCUGGGAACUGCAUUUGUGACUGCACAGCUGGAGUGCGGCAGAGGGGGAUGGAAUUCCGCGUGUAGCAGUGAAAUGCGUAGAUAUGCGGAGGAACACCGAUGGCGAAGGCAAUCCCCUGGGCCUGCACCGAUGACUCAUGCACGAAAGCGUGGGGAGCAAACAGG
rnacentral:rRNA from 1 species